rnacentral:ncRNA from 1 species
AAUGUAAAAGCGCCUGGACUACAUCCAUGUGAUGGAUGAUAGUUGACGAGGAGGAGGUUUAUCGAAUUUUCGGCGGAUGCCUCCCGGUUGCCAGCACAACCGAAAAACACUUCCUUAAAUCAUUAGGGUAACUUAAUGGACAAAGGGAAGGGUAU